rnacentral:tRNA from 1 species
GGGCCCGUAGCUCAGUUGGUUAGAGCGCAGUCCUGAUAAGACUGAGGUCCUUGGUUCGACCCCAAGCGGGCCCA